CCCAGACCGCCAGCUAAGGUCCCUAAAUCACAGUUAAGUGGGAAACGAUGUGGGAAGGCUCAGACAGCUAGGAGGUUGGCUUAGAAGCAGCCACCCUUUAAAGAAAGCGUAAUAGCUCACUAGUCGAGUCGGCCUGCGCGGAAGAUGUAACGGGGCUAAGCAAUAUACCGAAGCUGCGGAUACGUGUUUACACGUAUGGUAGGGGAGCGUUGUGUAAGUGGUUGAAGGUGAGCUGUGAGGCUUGCUGGACAUAUCACAAGUGCGAAUGCUGACAUGAGUAACGAUAAUGCGG
rnacentral:rRNA from 1 species